rnacentral:rRNA from 1 species
AAUUGGGGUGAGGAAAAGAAACCUUUGAAAAGGCGGAGGGACUAAUUAAACGGCCGGCGGUAUUUUGACCGUGCGUAGGUAGCGCAAUCACUUGUCUUUUAAUGAAGACCUGUAUGAAUGGUGGACGAGGGCUUAACUGUCUCCCCCUUCGAGUCAAUGAAAUUGAUCUGCCCGUGCAGAAGCGGACAUAAAAAUACUAGACGAGAAGACCUUUUGAACUUAAGAUACAGGAUCAACUAUGUCAAGAACCCAAAAGUUUAACUAAAUAGCAACUUGAUCCCAAUCUUCGGUUGGGGCGACCGCGGGAGAAAACAAAGUCCCACGCGUACUGGGCACCGCGAGACCAGAAGACUUUUCAGUCCGAUUUCUGACUUUAGAUCCGCAGAGCCGUCUACGACGAUUCCACGUUACACGAUCCUUUCGAAUCCAUCCACAGAGGUUACACUCUGUGACCGAUCAUGUGACCUUUAGGUUCGUGUCAGGUAGUCAUCAUUUCAAAGA